ensembl:lncRNA
AUUUCCCUUUAGCUUAGCAAUAUGCUGCAGCUCUCAAAAGAUUGGAUCUGAAAGAAAGAGACGGAGGAGAAUGAGAGCCAGAGACAGAGAUGCAGACAAGGGAGGGAAGGGGAAAAAAGACUUUUCUUUUCUUUUUUUUUUUUUUUUCUUUCUAGAGGAAUUCUGCCCAGACUCUCCAGCAGUUGGUAGCAGGCAGGCUUUCUCCUGUGUCGCCUGGAAAAGUUGCAAAAUUGCUCUUCACCUGUAAGAACAUGCUUUUUUAUCUUCCAGUCUCUUCUUGUCAAUUUGGAAAUUGCAGACAGCCCGGCUCAGGCAUUAAGAGAAAUUGAUUAGUGACAAGGAAGAGAAGAAAACAUUGCUGGUCAGUAGGCCACGGUUUUGAACAAUUUUUUAAUCCAACGAGCUAUUUUACCUUACACAAUAGAUGUGGUUUUGGCCAACAAUCUUCAUUGUUAAAGCAUCCAGUGGCUUUUUAACAAUGAUAUGGAAUCCAGUGUGCUCCAUUUUCUUCCUAAGACAGUAAUGCCUUCUAAAGCACUCCGAGUAGUAAGGUACACAAGGUAUUGCUUUCAUAAAACUGUGCUAGCUGUCCCUAAUUCAAUUACUCAACUCAAAGACUUCCUCGGGGCUUCGAAAUCGUGCCCACACUUCCCGGUUUCUGCCACGAACCUGAGCAGCUUGCGGUUGCUCGGUUGGUAAAAUGUUUCUUUAUCUGUUUUGCUUGUCUUUUCAAACCACUUUACUUGUCACGAAGAAGUGGUUUCAGAUUGUUUUUCAUCCCCAUUGUCAUUUGUUGGACUGUAAAGUAG